CCAAAGAUAUUAUAAUUUUCUUUUGAACAUUUAAUCCAUUUAGACAAUAUUUUUAAAUUUUUUUUUUUAUUUUUUGAGAAAGCAUCAUUUGUAUCGAUUCCCUGUCCAAGAUAAAGGUGUCAAUCUUCUCUGGAGGAGGAGGAAUAUGUUCUGAUUUGUAUGGUUCCACAGCUGGAAAUUCUGACAUGUUGAACAGAUGUGACCUCUUAUCAGUUCCUUGAAAGUGCAUCCAGAAAUCUGCAGAAAAAAACGGCUGGUUUUGUGGGGGAUUAUUUUUGAAAAAGAAAUCUUACUUGGUUGGGGGGAAAAAAAACCCUCUGAAUUACGUCAAAGAACACAGACAGAGGCAGUGGGAGCCUGCUCUGGAAAAACUGAGUAUCGAAGCGGUAAAAGUUGGUGAAUUAUCAAAAAGCUCAUUUUCAGAGCUAGGAGGAAUUUUGAAAUACCUUCUGCAGGUGUGCGGUCACUGGUGUGGAUUUGAAAGGAAAGAAAGGACGAAAAAGGGACCCCUUCUCUCCAUUGCUAUUUGGCCACAAAUAACAUUUCUGCUACUUAACAAAUUUUGUAUUAGUUCUGUUCAAUCAAGGCUGGAGCUGUCACUGGGAUAACAUUGCUCUAAGCCUGAAAAGGUGUUCUGGUUUAGGUUUUGUUGGGGUUUCCUGUUGUUUGUCUGGUUUUUAAUUCGAUUCCCCCCUCCCCCACUAUUAUUUUUUUCUUGGGUUUUUUUUUUCAUCUGUUUUCGUGGUGUUUUUUUGUAAGGCCUGGAAGAGCAUCAGGGAGCUGUUUGGCUUCCACACUGGACAGUGCAGCUGCAAUUCUGGUGCUGCUCCCUCAUGUCCCAGCCAGAGAGUACAGCCACCAUGGUGCUAGUAGAAGUAUGUUAUAUAGUGGUGAAAGUAUUUUAAAGUGGAGAGAGAAAAGAUGAGAGAGGUACUUCACUUGAUGUGAUGCAACCCUGAUUUUCUUUUUUUGUCGCUCUUCAAACUUCUUUCCUGUUCUGUCCAAGUGCAUCAGCCCAGGGCCGUGCAUACAAGAGAAGUGACACAUUUGAGUGCACAACAUCAUUUGCCUGUGUCUGUCUUUGUGGCAAAGCCUGUGGCUGAUUUGUAAGGCGGGGGCUGAUACCACCAGUUGCGUUAUGAACAUCAAGUGUAAUUUGUUGGGCUUGUUUCUGAGCAGACUGCAUCUAUUCCAGCAUGGGAAAUGGUAUUCUCUCCCUCAAUAUCUACAUUGUGGAGGGGGCUGGAAGGUGGAAAUAGUUCUCAACAGAAACAGAGGCUUGAGGGUUGAUACUCAGCAAAUAUAAGCAUGGUUUUCUGCAUUUAACCCCUUUCCAUAAAUGUUUAUUUCAUCCGCAUGGUUACAAGUAAUUACUUAACACAUUGAGCUGAUAUUCGUAUAUUAAUUGCAGGUUGUUUCCUGGGUUUUCUCCCUUUAAUAAAAUAAGUAUAAAAGAGAGCUCUUUUCA
rnacentral:lncRNA from 14 species